GCACGGAACCUUUCCGCUCUAGCCGAUGUGGGACUAAAUUCAAGGCCCCCUCCCCCCCACAACAUUAUCAAUCUUGAAAAAUAUUUGAGGCUCAAAUGUUCUACUAUGGAUAAAGUGCAGUAGUUUAUGAUCCUGCAAUAAAUCAAUUAAAUGAAUAUUAGUUGAUGUUUUGACAAAAAGAAAAAAAAAAGAAAAAGAAAAGGGGUUUCUGCUAUUAACAAGGAAGAAAUCAAAGAAGAGAAACAAGUUCAUCAAAAUGAUAUGCAAAAGAAAGAGAAAUAAGGUAUUAAAUAGUUUUAUUUAUAGACAAGUAGUAUUUUGAUCAAAAUUUAUUAGUGAAUCCAAAGGAUUUUGAUGUUUUGAAUCAGAGUGCACAGCGAAAACAUAGUGGUCUGAAUUAUUUAUCUAAGUUAGUUAGAAGUAUUAUCCCUUUGAUUCGGAAAGUUUUAAUAACAAAGAUUUGAUCCGUUUUCUUAUGUAGUAGGAUUUUCUGGAUAAAUGAAAGGAAAAUGUUUUGAUUUUUUAGAUGUCGCUGUGCUAUCUUAGAUUCUCCAAUUUUAUGUCGUGCUAAGAAAUUCUUAGCAUCUUUUGGCUAGAAUUAAUGGAUCAUCGAUUUUGAUCUUGGAUUUGGAAUAUGUUGGUAUAGACCUCCGUUCUUCUAAAUCUGAAGCUUGAAUUUUUUUCAAAUAAUAUCAACCCUCUAUCUAAUUAAAAGAAAUUGAGGUUGUCAAUCGACUUUAAUGAAUAUCUAUCAAGGGUGGAUUAGAGUCGUUUAUGAUCUAAUCUUGUGAUAGAUCGGUUAAUCAAGAGAAAUUGAUAUUUUGACAAAGUAACUUGAUGUUCUUAUUCAGAAUUAAGACUUUGAUUUUCGAUUAUAAAAGAAAAGUUUGAUUUAAAUCAUCUACCAAAAGAAUCAAAUCUGAAAGUAUCAGACCUUAUUCCUUUGAUAAGAUCUAAUGAUAAAGUUGUAUUGAUAAGUAGAAUUAUUGGAAGCCUUGAGUUAAUUUUCUAGUAGGGAAGAAUGUUGUUGAUUCUUAGGAUAAUCAUGAUAUGACUACGUUACUCUCUGAUAGAUUCUUCUAUUGGGUAUGCUAAGUAAAAUCUUGAGCAUUUCAUGACUAGAGUGAGUUGAUCAUUGAUUAGAUAUGAUCUAAAUUUUUAAGUAUCGAAAUAAACCAUGUGUUAUUUGUUCCAUCGUUAUGAGUUCUAAAUCAAGCCUUGUGACAUAUUCAAUAUGGUAUCAAUAUUUGGUCUUCUUGGAUUUGUUCUUGUGAUUUGAUGCCAAUCAUUUUAAGAUAGACCAUUGCUGUCUAAUGAUCAUCAUUACAUCAUCAUUACAUGUUCAUUUUGUGAAUCCCAUUCCUAACCAUUACUAACCAUCUAAUGAUUUGACUCUGAUUAAGGCCGGUCGAUAUCUUUUGUGGGAUUAGUACUCUACCAUAAUAAGUGCAUGAAAUCUAUUUUAUUCCAAGAUCUAUCUCAAAUACAAUUAAUUUUAUCAAUCUUGUUGUCAAAUGAUCCCAAUCUGAUCUCAUUGCAAUCUUAGAUUUUAGUUAGUCACUUAUUUAGUGCUAAUCUUACUCGUAUGUAUAAAUUUUUGACAGUUGAUCAAGAGUUAAAUAUCUCAUUAAUUUUGAUUGAAGAGAAUAAGAUCUUAGAUUUACGUUACUCAAUGAGCUGAACAUCGCUGAAUUUGGAAAGACUAGAUUCUAUAAAUUUCGAGGACAAAAUUUUUAUUAAGGAGGGGAGAAUGUAAUAAUCGGCCCAAAACGGGCCAAUCAGGCCGAAGCUGGUGGACCCAACCGGUUUUAGCCCAUGGCUGAAGAAGAGACCAAGACAGGGAUCGCAAUGCGAUCCUCUGGUCUUCUUCCUCGGGGUAACGGAGGCGAGACUGGAGCGAAAAUGCCGUGGCCUCUUGAAUGGCCUCCGAUCUCGCUCAACCGCCACGAGCAUCACGACGGUGAACGAACCACGACCAUUUUCUUCCUUCCCCGGGGAGGGCUACAAAAGCCCCCGAUAGCUCACCCGAUCCGAGAAGCCCCUCCUCCCUAUUUUCUCCUUGCCCUCGGACCAGGAUGUUGCCAGAUCUGGGCACUCCGGCGGCCUGAUGUUCGCCACCGUUCUCGCUCAUGCUGGGUUCUACCUCCGGUAUCCUCCACCAGUGCCUCUCCUUGUCGGACUUACCACCCGCGCCCCUACUCUCAUUAGUGAGAUAAUUAAGGCGAUUAGGAGCGGGAAAGAGUAAAUGAAAAUUGGAGUUGAAGCAUAGUUAAUAAGUUUGGGUUGUAAUAUUGUAAACUCAAGUAUUUGAUUUAGAUGCUCUGUACUUGUUUCUUUAUGAUUAGUAAAUAAAUUUGAUCAUAUUUGAUCUUAUUUCAUGAAAUAAAUUGUUAUCAUGGGCUUCAUGUUAUUGUGGGCAGCAACCUACAAUAGCACGGCUGUGUUAUGAACCGGAUCUAGGGUGUAAAAAAAAAUAUAAAAAUAAUGUCCGGAUCCGGGGCGUGACAGUUGUGAUUUCUAAUGAUGGUGAUCUUCCAAGAUUUCUUGGUGAACUCUAAAAGAGGGAUCACCAAGGAAACAUGUAAGAACUAGAUUCUUUCAUACUUUAGGUGGAUUUUCAUAUCAUUUAUCAACUAUACACACUCAAAAAGAAAAUAGUAGUGAUACAUGAUCAUGAUAACUAGGAUGAGUCUAUGCAAUUGAUUGCAAGUCCUCUGCACUCUGAUUGCAAUUUGAGAUCGGUUCUUCCCUUGAAGCUUUGGUUGGUGAGGAAACAGCAUGGCUGAGUUGAUCCUUUGCACGAUUCAAAUCAUCGAUCAUAACGUGCACUUAAAAGCUUAUAAUCAUCGACUAGUGAAACAGUGAUCACCAUUGCUUUCAAUUUGGACACUUCUAAAAAACAUUUUGAUUGACUGCUCAUUGCUGAUUGCCAACUUCGGCAUGCAAAAUUAUAUAUCAUGGAUGUUAAAUGGACUAAAAUUGUGUAUCAUUUGAAUUAAUAGAAUCACUAUUUCGUUUUACUUAGAUAUGCCUCUGCAACAUGACAUAUUCUGAUAUCUAGUCAGAUGGUAUUGUGGACAAAAAUGGAUUCAUCAUCUACCCUUAGGAUAUAUUUGGUUGGGGGAGAGUUAAGCUCUGAAAUGGGAAAGGAAAUGCGUGAUUCUCAUUCAAACUAUUUGGUUCGAAAAAAUCCCAUUCUCAUUCCAAUUUCAAGAGGGAAUUAGAAUGCUCCAAUUCUCCAAAAUCCAUUUCGGACUCUUCUAUAGCAUUCAAAUUUCAUUCCGAUUUCAGUCAUGAACCAUAUACGUCGAAAAAUAUGGCCAUUCCGAUUCCUAUUCGAAUCUAUUCUGAUUUUGACUCGAUUCCAAUUCUGGCUACGAACCAGCAUGAUUAAGUUUAUUAGAGCAGGUAUAAAGUUUGUUUCAUCGAUUAUGAACACUUAGAAUCAGCCUAUUUCAUUUUCAUGCUGUUCGAGUGAUAUGGUAUGGACCCUCUUGUUUUUUGCGUAGACAAUUCCGUAUUUUGUAUUAUAGGCUCUUGAUACCAUGUUUGGUUGUUUUUGUGGCUAUAUUCACAUAUGUUUCUUGGUUAAACAACAUAAAAAGAUUGUUUCUAUUUCUACCAAAUUCCAUAUUUUGUAUUAUAGGCUCUUGAUACUAUGUUUGGUUGCUUUCUAGGACGCACGAUGGCGAACUUAUAUAUAAAUAUGCUUUUUCAUCUUCUAUAAUUGAAAUCUGUUGAGCUAUGUGUGAAAUAAAAAUAUAUUAUAUUUGAAAGUUCUUUUUAUUUAAGCUUUGAAGUAAAACAUGUCAAUAUUCCUUAGAAAUGAGUUUUUAUGGAUAGAGUCAAUACCUUUAUCAUAGUCCGAACCGUUAUCUUCCCACCAUCCUCUCCUCUCCAAUAAGAAUUGAAAUCAUUGAUCUCUGUGUUCCAUUCCUCAAUGAGGUUCAUGAGGGUUCUCUAUUCUGGAUAGGGCUUCCCUAUUGAUGAUCCAUAACACUUCACCAAUGGUCUGCUUCCAUCAAUAGUUGUUUCUAGACCUUGUUGAAUUAUGAAAUACAGUAUGUUCCUUUCAUUUUCAAACCAAACUACAAAAAAAUACACUUUUAGCGACCACUUUCGGCGACUAAAUGAAUAGUGAUCGCUGCAAAUAAGGCUAUUUGCGACCAACAUCCUUGUUAGUUACUGAAUGAUUGUUCUAGACCGACUAAAUGCAUAUUUGGUCGCAGAAAAUCAAAACCAAGUUGGCGGGGUGGAGGUAAAAUGUUUGGUGACUAAAGUUUGGUCGCUGAAAAUAAGGCUAUCUGCGACCAAUAUUCUUGUUAGUUACUGAAUAAUUAUCCUACACCGACUAAAUGCAUAUUUGGUCGCGGAAAAGCAAUACCAAGUUGGCACGAGUCCAAUAUUUUGCGCGGGCUGGAGGUAAAACUUUUGGCGACUAAAUUUUGGUCCUUAAAGGUUCACCUCCAGUGGCUAAAAAAAAUUUAGUCUAGGAAAACUUUUACGAAUAGCGCCUUUUUUCAAUGAAAAAAUUGGGCAGAAAGUUUGAGUUUUUUAGUGACCAAACUUUUGGUAGUAGAAGGUUCCCGCAAAACCGAACGAUGUUGUACUAGCCCCUAUAAGAUGCUAAUUUCUAAGUUAAAAAAAAAAAAACUGAUUAUUUUCAAACGGUGCCGUUUAACACCUUAAUUCACUUAGGCAUAUCCUCGUCUCUUCGGCUGAAUCUCAAUCCCACAACUUUUCUUCAUACUGAAAUUCUUUUUUAUUUUUAUUAUUAUAAUAUAAUUUUAAAAGCUCGAGCUCGGUGCUUGACUCCUUGUCAAAUAAAUAUACGGAUCGACAGGAUACGCGGCAUGCGGACGUGGGAACGGGAAUCCGCUUAGAAAUAUAUAGAAUUCUUGGACAUCCUACGGACAGGAUCUUUUUUUCAUUAGCCCACCCGCAUGACGGAUUGAAAAUCUGCUUAGAAAUAAAUUUGCACGCAUCCUUGUUAGUUACUGAAUGAUUGUCCUACACCAACUAAAUGCAUAUUUAAUCGCGAAAAAUCAAAACCAAGUUGGCGCGAGUCUAGUAUUUCGCGCGGGCUGGAGGUAAAAUUUUUGGCGACUAAAUUUUGGUCCCUAAAGGUUCACCUCCAGCGACUAAAAAAAAUUUAGUCGAGAAAAGUAUGGAUAUGGGGACGCCGUGUGAGAAACCAAACAAACCCUAAUUUUCUAUUCCACUAUUCGACUUUAACUCCUUGCCUUCACCCGUCGCCGUAGUUAGUGCCGGCCCAAGCCUUGCCCAAAGGAAGGCCUCCCGCCUCCGCUGUCCAGCUCCAGCAUCCCGCCUCCACGGCUCCAAUGCUCCAUCGAUCCAUCCAACUGCCCAUCAGCCAUCGUAGGGAUAGGGUAAGUGACUAAGUGGGUAACUAGGGUUCUGGCCUUCUGGGUUCAUAGCUGCAGCUGCCGCCUGCCCCUUCCUGCUACCCUCAGCCAUCAGCCAUGCCUACGAAGUACGAAGCCCUGGUGGGCAACGGGCAACGGACAACAGGGCUAUGGAGGACCCUAUGCCCCUACGAUCCAUCCUCCAUAGCCCGUCUUCUCCAUCCGCCGUCCUCGGCAGUCGGCAUCUCGGCUUGUCGGCCUCGGUCGAAGACUCUUCUUCGGCGAAGAGUCUAAGUUCUAAACUCUUCUUCGGUUCUUCCUUUUUCCCUAAAUUCGUAGCUCGGCUCGGUAACUCAGUUCACCGUUCACGAAUCUCACUUCGCCCUUUCCAUUCGCCACUCGCUCUCGCCUUCCUCGGAGGGAAUCAGGAAGGCGGCGGCGCCGGCGUGACGCGUGAUGGCGUCUCUUGGCUCUCUUCCCCUUCUCGGCAGUCGGCCCAGCCCUCCGUCGUCGCCGGAGCCCGGAGCCGGAGUAGCUCUGGCAUCACUUCUCACCGUCGAGUUUCUAGUUCGGCACUGCUUGUCGGGACUUGAGUUCUUCGUCGAGUCCAGCAUCGCUUCUGUUGACAUUUCGGGUUUUAUCAUUUUCAACUCUCUUAUAUUUUGAUUUAUUGUACUGAUUGUGUUAAUUGUUUAGAUUCAAAUGUCUAAUAGAAAAUUUGAAUGUGGGUAUGAAAAACUCAGAAAGAAAAAAAAAAAAUCGAAAAACUCAUUCAAUCUCAAAAAUGUGCUUUAGAUAGAUUCGUUGUCACAAAUAAACAAAAUACUAUAUCCAAUUCAACUCAGAAUGAAAUAGAGUUUUAAGAUGACAUAAAAAGAACGAAACAAGCAUCUUAAGAACGUCUUACAUGUGGACCCUUAUAGUCAUCCAUACGAACAUGUGACUCAAGAGGAUUGACGCCACUUAAUUGACGAUGUGUGGAAAAGCAAAGAACACAAGGUAACUUACUUAUUUAGUGCUUCAGAGUUUAUAAGUAAAAUAUUUGAUCAUAAUGUUUUCUUUAGAUUUUUAAUUUGUAUUUUUUUGAAGGUGAGAUCAAAAGCUGGCAAAAAGAAUAGGGAAAAGCUUGAGUACAAUCAUUGUUUAAGAUCUCGGUCAUUUGUUGCAACAAUGACUAUACCGCUGGAGUUUAAUGGUUGUGAAAAUCUUGAAUUUCCAGAAUUCUAUAAGAAAACUCAUACCAGAAAGAACAAAGAGUGGAUUGAUCCUAUUUGCGCCGUGAAACAUAGUUCUUAAAGAAAAGAGCGAGAGAUGGAGCAUGAGGAGCUACGGAGGCAAUUGGAGCAGGAGAGGAAAGAGCGUGAGGAGGAAAGAAAAGAGCGAGAGGAAGAGCAGAAGCAAAUUGCACAUCUUACAAGUUUGGUGAUAGAGUUCUUAAAGGAAAAGACUCAAACACACAAGUAAUCUAUCCAUCAUGAUGGGGCUAUGUAUUCAACUGGUGGUACAAAUACUCGUUGAUACAUGGUGGAGUUAUGAGCAUGUGAAAUCUAGUUUUUGGUACAUGGAUAGCUUUUGUUCAGAUGAUCAUGGUGGAGUUGUCUACAAGCAGAAUCCAGUUUUUGGUAUAAGAAUAUUUUUGUCUACAGAUGGUUGUUUGGAUGAAUAGCAAGAUCAGAUAUUUUAGAAUUUUUAAUUUACAUUUUGAUGUGUUUGGUGAUGAUUAUCUUCUUAACAUAUUAUGGAUGAAACAUUGUGAUGUAUGGUUAAUAGGUAUGCUUGACUUUAGACUUAUAGAUAAUGAUAUUUAUAAUAAAUGAUUAUGGAUUCUCCAA